CCUACGGGAGGCUGCAGUGAGGAAUAUUGGUCAAUGGGCGCGAGCCUGAACCAGCCAAGUAGCGUGAAGGAUGACGGCCCUACGGGUUGUAAACUUCUUUUAUAAAGGAAUAAAGUGAGGCACGUGUGCCUUUUUGUAUGUACUUUAUGAAUAAGGAUCGGCGAACUCCGUGCCAGCAGCCGCGGUAAUACGGAGGAUCCGAGCGUUAUCCGGAUUUAUUGGGUUUAAAGGGAGCGUAGAUGGGUUGUUAAGUCAGUUGUGAAAGUUUGGGGCUCAACCGUAGAAUUGCAACUGAUACUGGCAGCCUUGAGUACAGUAGAGGUAGGCGGAAUUCGUGGUGUAGCGGUGAAAUGCUUAGAUAUCACGAAGAACUCCGAUUGCGAAGGCAGCUUACUAAACUGCGACUGACAUUGAUGCUCGAAAGUGUGGGUAUCAAACAGGAUUAGAUACCCUUGUAGUC
rnacentral:rRNA from 1 species